rnacentral:tRNA from 1 species
UAGGCAGAGGCCCGUAGGAUUAGGCAUAUAGCUGUUAACUAUAGUUUCGUGGGAUCAAAGCCCACCUGCCUAG